UACGUAGGGGGCUAGCGUUGUCCGGAUUUAUUGGGCGUAAAGAGCGUGUAGGCGGCCAGGUAGGUCUGCUGUGAAAACUCGAGGCUCAACCUCGAGACGUCGGCGGAAACCAUCUGGCUAGAGUCCGGAAGAGGAGAGUGGAAUUCCUGGUGUAGCGGUGAAAUGCGCAGAUAUCAGGAAGAACACCCGUGGCGAAGGCGGGACUCUGGGCCGAUACUGACGCUGAGGAGCGAAAGCGUGGGGAGCAAACAGG
rnacentral:rRNA from 1 species